AUAUUGGACAAUGGGCGCAAGCCUGAUCCAGCCAUGCCGCGUGAGCGAAGAAGGCCUUCGGGUCGUAAAGCUAUGUCCUAAGGGAAGAAACGGACGGUACCUUAGGAGGAAGCCCCGGCUAACUACGUGCCAGCAGCCGCGGUAAUACGUAGGGGGCGAGCGUUAUCCGGAAUGACUGGGCGUAAAGGUUGCGUAGGCGGCCUUUUAAGUCAGAUGUGAAAGGCUACGGCUUAACCGUAGUUAGCAUUUGAAACUAGAAGGCUUGAGUGAAGGAGAGGAGAGUGGAAUUCCUAGUGUAGCGGUGAAAUGCGUUGAUAUUAGGAGGAACACCAGUGGCGAAGGCGACUCUCUGGACUGCAACUGACGCUGAGGCACGAAAGCGUGGGGAGCAAACAGG
rnacentral:rRNA from 1 species